rnacentral:rRNA from 1 species
AGUGAACGCUGGCGGCGUGCUUAACACAUGCAAGUCGAACGAGAACGGGUUAUAGCUUGCUAUAAUUGUCAGCUAAGUGGCGCACGGGUGAGUAAUGUAUAGGUAAUAUGCCUCUUACUAAGGGAUAACAAAUGGAAACGUUUGCUAAUACCUUAUACUCCUUAUUAACAGAAGUUAAUAAGGGAAAGAUUUUUUGGUAAGGGAUUAGCCUGUAUUGUAUCAGUUAGUUGGUGGGGUAAUGGCCUACCAAGACUAUGACACAUAACUGGUUUGAGAGGAUGAUCAGUCACACUGGAACUGAGACACGGUCCAGACUCCUACGGGAGGCAGCAGUGGGGAAUAUUGCACAAUGGACGAAAGUCUGAUGCAGCAACGCCGCGUGGAGGAUGACACAUUUCGGUGCGUAAACUCCUUUUAUAUGAGAAGAUAAUGACGGUAUUAUAUGAAUAAGCACCGGCUAACUCCGUGCCAGCAGCCGCCGUAA